GAUGAAGAACGUAGCGAAAUGCGAUAAGUAAUGUGAAUUGCAGAAUUCAGUGAAUCAUCGAAUCUUUGAACGCACAUUGCGCCCCUUGGUAUUCCGAGGGGCAUGCCUGUUCGAGCGUCAUUAUAACCCUCAAGCUCAGCUUGGUGUUGGGGCCUGCUGCACUGGCAGCCCUUAAAAUCAGUGGCGGCGCCAUCUGGCUCUAAGCGUAGUAAUUCUUCUCGCUAUGGAGUCCUGGUGGAUGCUUGCCAUCAACCCCCAAUUUUUCUAUGGUUGACCUCGGAUCAGGUAGGUAUACCCGCUGAACUUAAGCAUAUCAAUAAGCGGAGGA
rnacentral:misc_RNA from 1 species